rnacentral:rRNA from 1 species
UACGUAGGGGGCAAGCGUUGUCCGGAUUUACUGGGCGUAAAGAGCGCGCAGGCGGCUGGUCAAGUCCGAUGUGAAAGCUCCCGGCUUAACUGGGAAAUUGCAUCGGAAACUGAUCGGCUGGAAGGUGGGAGAGGGUAGCGGAAUUCCCGGUGUAGUGGUGAAAUGCGUAGAUAUCGGGAGGAACACCAGUGGCGAAGGCGGGUCUCUGGGCCGAAAUUGACGCUGAGGAGCGAAAGCGUGGGGAGCAAACAGG